rnacentral:siRNA from 1 species
GGUGCAUGGCCGUUCUUA